rnacentral:rRNA from 1 species
GCUCAAAUUUGAAAUCCUUCGGGAGUUGUAAUUUGUAGGUUGGGAGACCCCGCGGCUAGUGGCACCAAGUCCCUUGGAACAGGGSGCCUUAKAGGGKGAGAGCCCCGUAGGUACCACAACACCGUCUUGUGUCUCCUCUCCAAARAGUCGAGUUGUUUGGGAAUGCRSCUCAAAGUGGGUGGKAAAUUCCAUCUAAAGCUAAAUACCGGCGAGAGACCGAUAGCGAACAAGUACAGUGAKGGAAAGAUGAAAAGCACUUUGAAAAGAGAGUGAAACAGUACGUGAAAUUGUUGAAAGGGAAGGGCUUGCRAGCAGACACGGCCUUCGUGCCGGGCCAGCAUCGGUUGCUAGGGGUGGAUAAGGAACAAGGAAUGUAGCUCCUCGGAGUAUUAUAGCCUUGCGCGAUACACCCACUGGSGACCGAGGCCUGCGGUAUUCCUACCUAGGAUGCUGGCGUAAUGGUUGCAAGCCGCCCGUC